AAUCUUAUAUUCAACAAUGAUUUUAAAUUGCAAAUUUGAAGGUAAAUAUAUAAGUAUAUUUUAAGAUUU
rnacentral:tRNA from 1 species